rnacentral:tRNA from 1 species
CAGAAAAUAGUUUAUUUAAAAAUUUUAAUUUUGGAGAUUAAAGAUAGAAAGUUUUCUUUUUCUGA